rnacentral:rRNA from 1 species
UACGUAGGGACCAAGCGUUGUUCGGAUUUACUGGGCGUAAAGGGCGCGUAGGCGGCUUAACAAGCCACUUGUGAAAUCUCCGGGCUUAACUCGGAACGGCCAAGUGAAACUGUCAAGCUAGAGUGCAGAAGGGGCAAUCGGAAUUCUUGGUGUAGCGGUGAAAUGCGUAGAUAUCAAGAGGAACACCUGAGGUGAAGACGGGUUGCUGGGCUGACACUGACGCUGAGGCGCGAAAGCCAGGGGAGCAAACGGG